AUCGAACGCUGGCGGCGUGCCUAAUACAUGCAAGUCGAACGACUGGCGGACGGGUGAGUAAUGCUUGGGAAUCUAGCUUACGGAGGGGGACAACUAGGGGAAACCGUAGAUAAAACCGAGUACCAUAGGAUGAGCGUAAGUGGGAUUAGGUGGUUGGUGAGGUAAAGGCCCACCAAGCCGACGAUCUCUAGCUGGUCUGAGAGGAUGACCGGCCACACUGGGACUGAGACACGGCCCAGACUCCUACGGGAGGCAGCAGUGGGGAAUAUUGGACAAUGGGCGCAAGCCUGAUCCAGCCAUGCCGCGUGUAUGAAGAAGGCCUUCGGGUUGUAAAGUACUUUGGUCGAGGAAGCGUUACUCGAAGAAAAAGCACCGGCUAACUCCGUGCCAGCAGCCGCGGUAAUAC
rnacentral:rRNA from 1 species